AUGUAUAUUAUAGAGCAGUUCCACGAUUACAAGAUGGUUGAAAACCGCCCUGUACUGGAGCAGGCUCAUGAGAUAAUAUGCAUUGUUAAGGAGCUUGAGCUUCUUAAGUGCGAGUUACCGGGCAAGUUUGUCGCGGGCUGCAUAGUCGCUAAGCUCCCUAAUUCCUGGAGGAACUUUGCCACCACCCUGAAACAUCAGAGGCAUGAAUUCUCUGUGGAGGAUGUCAUUGGCCAUCUGAGUGUUGAGCAGAAUUCGAGGGAAAAAGACUCGCACGGAAAAGGGGUCGAAGGGACUUCUGUCGCCAACAUGGUGAACCCGAAGAACUUCAACUCCCACAAGCCCAAGGUAAAAAUGGUGUCCAACACAAUACCGACUUUAAGAAGAAGGGUAAGAGGACCUUCAAGAAGAACAAGAAGGAUGAGGGCUGCUUUACUUGUGGUUCGGUUGAACAUUGGGCCAACAAGUGCCCAAACAAGUACAAGAAGCCAGGACAGGACUCCAAGUCUGUCAACAUAA
rnacentral:rRNA from 1 species